CCGCUACGCCCAUUGCCAGCGCCUAGCAAGAUUUUGGCGUUUGGCAUACGGAGCACGAUCUGCCGCAUUUCCAUGGCAUUGAGACGAGGUGUGUGAGAAUAAUCCAAAGAGGCUGCACUACAUAAUUAAUCUAUGUGAUACUUUAAUCUGCAAGCUCUAGGUGAGUACCUACUAUAUUUGA